CGGCACGGGUGAGUAACACGUAUCCAACCUGCCGUCUACUCUUGGACAGCCUUCUGAAAGGAAGAUUAAUACAAGAUGGCAUCAUGAGUCCGCAUGUUCACAUGAUUAAAGGUAUUCCGGUAGACGAUGGGGAUGCGUUCCAUUAGAUAGUAGGCGGGGUAACGGCCCACCUAGUCUUCGAUGGAUAGGGUUCUGAGAGGAAGGUCCCCCACAUUGGAACUGAGACACGGUCCAA
rnacentral:rRNA from 1 species